GCGGCAGCGGCGGCGGCAGCAGCAGCAGCAGCAGCAGCAGCUCAGGCAAUGACUGCCGCAUAUUAAUAGCCAACGAUUUGGUGUGGGCGCUGCUGCUGGAGACAUAACCUUACUCUGAAGUUGGGCAACUGCCUAGGAAAUACAUUUUUUUUCCUUUGCUCCUUUCCCCUCUCCCUCUUGGUGUGUAUAUCAGUAAGGAAACAAAAAGGAAGAAAAGCCUUUUUCCCCCCUCUUCUCCCUUCCCCCCUUGGUGGAGGUGGCUAUGUAGCAGAACAAGAAGAGGGGGAAGGAGACACUUUUUUUUUUCUCUUAUCCUGGCCUGGGUUCUCCACCCUUCUGCUAUCCGCUCUCGAGCUUCGAUUAUUAUUUUUGUUUUAGGGGGAGGAGGUUGUCUUUACUGUGGCAGGUCCAUCUUUCCCCCCCUGGGUUCCAUGGCUGGAUUGUGGGAGCAGCUCCUGGCUACAGGCUGUUGAGCAACUGAUGGGACUAUCUCAGGAACCGGAGGUUACAAAAGAAAUGUUGAUUGCUGUGAUCUGCAAAAAAAAAAAUAUGGAUUUUUAGCAACUGAAGAGCAAGUCAAGUCCCAUGCUCACCUCUCCAUGAAAAAAAGUU